AUGAGCAACCAAACCGUUUUUGACCUGGCCUGGAGUGAGGAGAUUAAGCAGAUUCUGGUGGGCAGUCAUGACAAGAGUGCCAGUUUUCUGGGAUGGCAUUCCUAUUGGGUGGUCGUUCAAACGGAGUUAUAUUCUGGUAUCCAAGACAAGAUGCUUGGAUGCCCUGGAGGAGCAUGUGGCCAACAGCAGCUGUCACUACCCAGGAGCAGACAGAUGAGGAGGGGGAUGAAGAUAGAUCUUGGCGACCUCACAGACUCCCUCCAGGUCAGAUGA
rnacentral:lncRNA from 1 species